UACAACAUCGAGAAGGAUAUUG
rnacentral:misc_RNA from 1 species